rnacentral:rRNA from 1 species
AUUGAACGCUAGCGGGAUGCCUUACACAUGCAAGUCGAACGGCGUGGCGAACGGGUGAGUAAUGUCUCGGAACGUGCCCAUUAGCGGGGGAUACCUCCGCGAAAGCGUAGCUAAUACCGCAUACUAUUGGAGCGGCCGCUAGAGGAUUUGCUAGUUGGGGGGGUAACGGCUCACCAAGGCGACGAUCCGUAGCUGGUUUGAGAGGACGACCAGCCACACUGGGACUGAGACACGGCCCAGACUCCUACGGGAGGCAGCAGUGGGGAAUUUUGGACAAUGGGGGAAACCCUGAUCCAGCCAUCCCGCGUGUGCGAGGAAGGCCUUCGGGUUGUAAAGCACUUUUGGCAGGAAAGCGGUACCUGCAGAAUAAGCACCGGCUAACUACGUGCCAGCAGCCGCGGUAAUUC